rnacentral:rRNA from 1 species
AAGCGAUUCCGGCUACGGAUGGUCAUGCGUCGCAUUAGCUAGUUGGCGGGGUAACGGCCCACCAAGGCGACGAUGCGUAGGGGUUCUGAGAGGAAGGUCCCCCACACUGGUACUGAGACACGGACCAGACUCCUACGGGAGGCAGCAGUGAGGAAUAUUGGUCAAUGGCCGCAGGGCUGAACCAGCCAAGUCGCGUGAGGGAUGACGGUCCUAUGGAUUGUAAACCUCUUUUGUCAGGGAGCAAAGGACGCCACGUGUGGCGUUUUGCGAGUACCUGAAGAAAAAGCAUCGGCUAACUCCGUGCCAGCAGCCGCGGUAAUACGGAGGAUGCGAGCGUUAUCCGGAUUUAUUGGGUUUAAAGGGUGCGCAGGCGGAAUGUCAAGUCAGCGGUAAAAUUUCGGGGCUCAACCCCGUCGUGCCGUUGAAACUGGCGUUCUUGAGUGAGCGAGAAGUAUGCGGAAUGCGUGGUGUAGCGGUGAAAUGCAUAGAUAUCACGCAGAACUCCGAUUGCGAAGGCAGCAUACCGGCGCUCAACUGACGCUCAUGCACGAAAGCGUGGGUAUCGAACAGGAUUAGAUACCCUGGUAGUCCACGCAGUAAACGAUGAAUACUAACUGUCCGGGCCGAUUGAGGUCUGG